rnacentral:rRNA from 1 species
GACGAACGCUGGCGGCGUGCCUAAUACAUGCAAGUAGAACGCUGAAGGAGGAGCUUGCUUCUCUGGAUGAGUUGCGAACGGGUGAGUAACGCGUAGGUAACCUGCCUGGUAGCGGGUGAUAACUAUUGGAAACGAUAGCUAAUACCGCAUAACAGUAGAUAUCGCAUGAUAUCUACUUGAAAGGUGCAAUUGCAUCACUACCAGAUGGACCUGCGUUGUAUUAGCUAGUUGGUGAGGUAACGGCUCACCAAGGCGACGAUACAUAGCCGACCUGAGAGGGUGAUCGGCCACACUGGGACUGAGACACGGCCCAGACUCCUACGGGAGGCAGCAGUAGGGAAUCUUCGGCAAUGGACGGAAGUCUGACCGAGCAACGCCGCGUGAGUGAAGAAGGUUUUCGGAUCGUAAAGCUCUGUUGUAAGAGAAGAACGAGUGUGAGAGUGGAAAGUUCACACUGUGACGGUAUCUUACCAGAAAGGGACGGCUAACUACGUG